AGAACCAAACCCCCUGGGCACGAUAUCGAUCCUGUGUCAGUGAGAUCAAUGCUCCCUGGCCUCUGAAUUACAGGAGGCUCCACAGCCAGGCUGGAUAGCUCCUUACGAUCUGAAGAUCAGGCCGGGGUGGGGUGGGCAGCCUGACUCCAGGUGAGGACCCUUUCAAACAGAGCAGCUGUUCCCCAGCCCUGCCCAUGAUUGCAGGGGGCAGGAGGGGAGCCUGAGCUGGAGGCACCUAAUUGAGCUCUGGAGUGCAACGGAGCAGCAGUUCCUGGAGGCAAGAUCCCGGAGAGAGGCCAGGACAGAAUGAAAGGGAAUUCUCCUUGCUGGCUGCUCCACUCUGUGUAUCCACUCCCACAGCCAGCCUUAGCUAACCCCAGCCUGGGUCAAUCAAGGAUGCCUCUUCUCCUGCAUUUAGAGCUCUUCUUGCUCUCCACUCCUCCCUGCUGCCCACACCUCCCUGUGUUUCUCCUGACAAGUGCUUUGGAGCAGCUGCCAUGCUGCAGCCUGUCAGCUCUGCUCAGGAGCAUGCAUCUGGCCGACUUGUGUGCAAGCACUGGCAACCUUCUGCAGGCCUUCUGCACACAGCAAAUCAUGGACUUGGAACCUUCAAGCUGGAACUAAAUAGGUGAGACUGCUCUGAGACUUGCAUUUCUUGUCCUGGCACCACCCCGUGCUGCUGCUCACAGUGACAUCACCUCAGCAUCUUAAGCAGCAAGUGCACCAUGGUGAAACUGGGAAGAGUGCCCAGGUUGGAAGGGACCCUCAAAUCUCAACUUUCACAACUCCCCUGCAGACAGCAGGGACACCUCCAACUGGAGCAGGCUGUCCAGGGACACAUCUUGACUGUCUCCGGGGAUGGGCCCUCAACCACCUCUCUGGGCAGCCUGGUCCAGUGUCUCUCCACCCUCAUUGUGCAGAAUUCCCUCCUGGUGUCCCACCUGUAUGUGUGCUGCUCCAGUUUCAAACCGCUGUCCCUCGUCCUGCAGCUCCAAGCCCUUCUGAACAGCUCCUUCCCAGACUAACCCCAGCUGCUGAGCUCCUUCAGCACAGUGCUUUGAGAGCAGGAUGAGUGAAUGCCUUCACCUAAGGUAGUUCACCUCCUCACGGCUCUCAUCGCUGGCAGGUUGCUGCCGGUUGGUCUAAUGGGGCUGGAGUGCUGCAUGUCACAGCAUCAGCCUGUGGAGCAGGCAGGGUUUCAUCAGCCUGGUUUGCACCUAGGUCGUGGAAGUGCUCAGAGGCUUUGUGUACAUUUAAAUAAUUUUCAUUAUCUUCCUUGUCAGAGCUGAUUCUUGGCCUCAGGUUUGCUUCAGCUCCCUUCACCUCUGAAGCUGUCCUUAUCGGAGUGCUCUGGCGGCUAACAGAGGUGAAUCCACUUCUCUAUUUUUCAUCUCUCUGCA